UACGGAGGGUGCAAGCGUUGUUCGGAAUUACUGGGCGUAAAGCGCGUGCAGGCGGCCGAUUAAGUCCGGUGUGAAAGCCCGGGGCUCACCCCCGGAAGUGCGCUGGAAACUGAUCGGCUAGAGUACGGGAGAGGGAAGCGGAAUUCCUGGUGUAGCGGUGAAAUGCGUAGAUAUCAUUUGGAACGCCAAUGGUGAAAACAGCUUGCUGGGGGUUUGCUGACGCUGAGACACGAAAGCCAGGGGAGCAAACGGG
rnacentral:rRNA from 1 species